AAUAAUCGCUCAUAAAAUAUUUUUUUCUUCAAUAUUUUUAGAAUUCAAAAAGUGAAGAUGAAGCUGAAUAUUAUCCUAGUGACAGUUUUCUUCCUGUUCUUUAGUUCAGCCCUGGCUAAAAAGUAUUUGAUUGAAACCAUAGAUGAGGACCUCCCUGCAGCUACCAACCGACGCCAAGUUAAUUACAAAGUUGCGAAUGAAACUGCUCCUCCUCCUGCGGGAUCUGACUACUCGUGGUAUUAACGGUUCUGUCGAAAUUUCA